rnacentral:rRNA from 1 species
ACAUUCACUUUAAAUAGGGCACCGUCUAAAUCCAUUGAGACGACACCGUAUGAAUUAUGGUUUGGGAAGAAACCUAAGCUGUCGUUUCUAAAAGUUUGGGGAUGCGAUGCUUAUGUCAAGAAACUUCAACCUGAAAAGCUCGAACCCAAGUCGGAAAAAUGCGUCUUCAUAGGAUACCCUAAGGAAACCAUUGGGUAUACCUUCUACCUUAGAUCCGAAGGCAAGAUCUUUGUUGCCAAGAACGGAUCCUUUCUGGAAAAGGAGUUUCUCUCGAAAGGAGUAAGUGGGAGAAAAGUAGAACUCGAUGAAGUACUACCUCUUGAACCGAAAAGUAGUGCAGCUCAGGAAAAUGUUCCUGUGGUGCCUACACUGACUGGAGAGGAAAUUAAU